CCUACGGGUGGCAGCAGUGGGGAAUAUUGGACAAUGGGGGCAACCCUGAUCCAGCCAUGCCGCGUGUGUGAAGAAGGCCCUCGGGUUGUAAAGCACUUUCAGUGAGGAAGAACGCCUGGUGGUUAAUACCCAUCAGGAAAGACAUCACUCACAGAAGAAGCACCGGCUAACUCCGUGCCAGCAGCCGCGGUAAUACGGAGGGUGCGAGCGUUAAUCGGAAUUACUGGGCGUAAAGCGCGCGUAGGUGGCUUGAUAAGCCGGUUGUGAAAGCCCCGGGCUCAACCUGGGAACGGCAUCCGGAACUGUCAAGCUAGAGUGCAGGAGAGGAAGGUAGAAUUCCCGGUGUAGCGGUGAAAUGCGUAGAGAUCGGGAGGAAUACCAGUGGCGAAGGCGGCCUUCUGGACUGACACUGACACUGAGGUGCGAAAGCGUGGGUAGCAAACAGGAUUAGAUACCCCGGUGUC
rnacentral:rRNA from 1 species